rnacentral:rRNA from 1 species
GAUGAACGCUGACAGAAUGCUUAACACAUGCAAGUCUUUGGCGAAUCUGUGUUUGCACAGGCUAGCCAAGGCGGACGGGUGAGUAACGCGUAAAGAACUUGCCCUGCAGACAGGGAUAACAGACGGAAACGACUGAUAACACCUGAUACAGUUGCCGGCACGCAUGUGCCUGGCAAUGAAAAGAGAUGCUGCAGGAGAGCUUUGCGUCCUAUUAGCUUGUUGGUGAGGUGACGGCUCACCAAGGCGAUGAUAGGUAGCCGGCCUGAGAGGGUGAACGGCCACAAGGGGACUGAGAUACGGCCCUUACUCCUACGGGAGGCAGCAGUGGGGAAUAUUGGACAAUGGGGGCAACCCUGAUCCAGCAAUUCUGUGUGCACGAAGAAGGUUUUCGGAUUGUAAAGUGCUUUCAGCAGGGAAGAAGAAAGUGACGGUACCUGCAGAAGAAGCGACGGCUAAAUACGUG